rnacentral:snoRNA from 1 species
UCGUCAGGUGGGAUAAUCCUUACCUGUUCCUCCUUUGGAGGACAGAUGAAACAUGAUGAUUAAAGAUGCACGAAACGUGAUUAACGUCUCUGCAUAAUCAGGACUUACAACACCCUGAUUGCUCCUAUCUGAU